GCAGGAUUGUGUAACUGCUACAGCAUUCUGGAAUGAAGGCAAGAACCUCAGAGACUUGCCAAACUUGGUUCUGCUCGGAAGAAAUUUUCCCCUGAGGGCUUAGAGAAGUCUCCCUCUCUCUGAAACAGCUUCUUCAAAGGUGGGCAAAAAGACACCAACACCCAUCCUAUAUCAGCCAACAUCCCAGUGACUGGUCCAUCGACACCAAGGACUUCAAAUUAUACCGAGUUCUGUGUAAAAUUAACACAACUCACAAAGGUCCCACUAGAAGCUAAAAGAACUACUGGGCAAGGAGAAGGGCAUGCAUGGAGCCUGAGAAGCCUGGGAGAGCAGGAGGCAGCCUGUGAGCCUUCCCACUCAGCGCCAAGCUUGACAUAGAAAUUGGAUCAUGGUGAUGACAAUUAUGAAAAAUAAAAACCUGAUUUUUUU
ensembl:lncRNA